CGAAUAUUUUGAAAGAGAGAGAGCGCCUGGAGGACCUUUGUUACCAUUUUUAUCUGUUCAAGAGAGAGUUGCAGAUGCACAUAAAAUAUCUCAAAAAACGGUGUUCAACAUCAAACAAAGAAAUAAACACAAACCCAUUCCAUCAACUCCAGGAAAAAGUAGACAUCGUAUCAAAAAGAAAACAUCUGAUUUACCUGAAGGGCAGAAAAUGGAAGUACGAAAUACUCUGUACGAUAUGUAUAAAGAC